AAUCUUGCGCAAUGGGCGAAAGCCUGACGCAGCCAUGCCGCGUGAAUGAUGAAGGUCUUAGGAUUGUAAAAUUCUUUCACCGGGGACGAUAAUGACGGUACCCGGAGAAGAAGCCCCUGCUAACUUCGUGCCAGCAGCCGCGGUAAUACGAAGGGGGCUAGCGUUGCUCGGAAUUACUGGGCGUAAAGUGCGCGUAUGCGGACAUUUAAGUCAGGGGUGAAAGCCCAGGGCUCAACCCGGGAACUGCCUUUGAUACUGGCGAUCUUGAAUAUGAGAGAGGUAUGUGGAACUCCGAGUGUAGAGGUGAAAUUCGUAGAUAUUCGGAAGAACACCAGUGGCGAAGGCGACAUACUGGCUCAUUACUGACGCUGAGGCGCGAAAGCGUGGGGAGCAAACAG
rnacentral:rRNA from 1 species